rnacentral:rRNA from 1 species
AUUGAACGCUGGCGGCAUGCCUUACACAUGCAAGUCGAACGGCAGCACGGGUGCUUGCACCUGGUGGCGAGUGGCGAACGGGUGAGUAAUACAUCGGAACAUGUCCUGUAGUGGGGGAUAGCCCGGCGAAAGCCGGAUUAAUACCGCAUACGAUCUACGGAUGAAAGCGGGGGACCUUCGGGCCUCGCGCUAUAGGGUUGGCCGAUGGCUGAUUAGCUAGUUGGUGGGGUAAAGGCCUACCAAGGCGACGAUCAGUAGCUGGUCUGAGAGGACGACCAGCCACACUGGGACUGAGACACGGCUCAGACUCCUACGGGAGGCAGCAGUGGGGAAUUUUGGACAAUGGGCGAAAGCCUGAUCCAGCAAUGCCGCGUGUGUGAAGAAGGCCUUCGGGUUGUAAAGCACUUUUGUCCGGAAAGAAAUCCUUGGCCCUAAUACGGUCGGGGGAUGACGGUACCGGAAGAAUAAGCACCGGCUAACUACGUG